GUCAGGAUGGCCGAGUGGUCUAAGGCGCCAGACUCAAGAACCGAGGUUCUUCGCCGACAUGAGGUGUUGAGUAUUCUGGUCUCCGAAUGGAGGCGUGGUUUCGAAUCCCACUUCUGACA
rfam:Ciona savignyi cont_35210, whole genome shotgun sequence.